rnacentral:rRNA from 1 species
GGACUACCGGGGUUUCUAAUCCUGUUUGCUCCCCACGCUUUCGCGCCUCAACGUCAGGUGUAGGCUAGAAAACCGCCUUCGCCACCGGUGUUCUUCCACAUAUCUACGCAUUUCACCGCUACAUGUGGAAUUCCGUUUUCCCCGCCUAACCUCCAGUUUGGAAGUUUCAGAUGCUGCUCCGAGGUUGAGCCCCGGAAUUUCACUUCUGACUUUCCAAACCGUCUACGCGCCCUUUACGCCCAAUAAAUCCGAUUAAUGCUUGCACCCUCCGUAUUACCGCGGCUGCUGGCAC